GGACAGCCCCUUACCAUCUUAGGAAGUACGGGGCCCGUUCUUGUGUUUGAAAAGAUUUUAUUCAAAUUCUGCAAGUAAGAUAUUUGUUUUUCUGAAAACUGUUAUUGGCUGUGGUUAUUGUGAUGCCAGGGUUGAAUAACAGGAUUCUACACAAAUUUAAAAGUAAGCAAAUAUUCUGAAUUAUAAGAAACCUGAAGAAAGAACAUCAUUUGGUCUAUAAUUCUGCCCCCAGGCAACACGUACCUAAAAUUGUAGAUCCUCUAUUUUUUAAAUUUAUUUUUUAGUUGUUGAUGGACCUUUAUUUUAUUCAUUUAUUUAUAUACAGUGCUGAGGAUCAAACCCAGUGACUCACACAUGCUAGGCAAGCGCUUUACCGCUGAGCCACAGCCCCAGAACCCCCCAUUCUUUAAAAUUUUUUUUUUUAGUUGUGAAUAGAUCUUUAUUUUAUUUAUUUAUUUAUAUAUGGUGCUGAGGAUCAAACCCAGUGCCUCACCCAUGCCAGGUGAGUACUGUACCACUGAGCCGCAACCCAGGCCUGAAAUCUUGACUUUUUAAUCUUUAAAAAAACUUUCCCUAGCUAACCCCAAGUCUUCCAUGUCCAUUUCAAGUCAAUUUAUAGUUUUUCCUGCUAUCCCUCCUUAAUGUUCUGGUGGCUGGUGGUAGUAGGGGCUCUGCAAUGUCUUAGAUUUCCUAUUUUUUCUAUAAAGUCUUUUUUUCCAUUUUGUACUAGAAUUAGGAGAAUAUGGGACUAGAACCAUCUCUUUUUUCUUAUUGCAUGAACAAUCUCUUAAUUACAUUGAAUUUUAGUGGCAAAAAUGUGUUCAAAAGGAUUCCUUCCUUCUCCACUUUCUAUAUAGCUUCACAGGCGAAUAGCACUUGGGAAACAAAUCUGUAACAUACCUGUCCCAGGGCACUAUUUAGAACUGAAGUUCAGUCAGAAUUAAGUAUCAGCUGGGUUGCAAUGGUGGUGUAGCUGACAUGAGAUGAAUUAACCAUAUUUGACCCUUUUGUGUCUUCGUGCCAUUCAUGCUUUUUGAUGAACUUUGGUCUUGUUUCAGAGAUUACACCCUUUCAUACCUCUCCCUUCGAGCUUGUAUCGGACUGUGGACCGCCUUCCUGUGUAUUGUCCUUGUGGCAACUGAUGCCAGUUCUCUUGUCUGCUACAUUACCCGCUUCACUGAAGAAGCAUUUGCCUCCCUGAUUUGCAUUAUUUUCAUCUAUGAAGCUAUAGAAAAGCUGAUUCAUCUGGCAGAGACCUACCCUAUCCACAUGCACAGCCAGCUGGACCACCUUAGCCUCUAUUAGUAAGUAUGCUUUCUGCUUGUCUUUUUUUUUUCUUCUUCUUCUUUUAAUGGACAAAGGGGCCCAAGUUUAAUAGCUUGUGUAGUGUGCCAGGCAGCGCUUGUAGCUUCUGUUGAGGAAGCAUCUUGGCCUUCUGGGAAACAGAACUUAGAUAUGUAUGAGGAAGCUUGGAGGACCGCCAGAGAAGAACAAUCAAAAGUGAUGACAAAGGAUGGACUGAGAAUGAAGCCCAGAGCAGACUUGAGAAGUUCUUUCUAGAGAAUGUCUUUUGGGUCUAGGCCUUGAAACAAAAAUAGGCUGCAAAUGUAGCAGAGAAAAUUUGAGUUAGUUAUUGAAAAGAUCUUCUUUUUGUAAGGACUUGUGAGCCCCCGGGACCACAUCAUCAAGUGAGAGAAUGGACUCUUUCUCUGAAGGUGUAUAGGCAACGUGUAGGAAAUAUUAGGUAGAGAUGGUUUAAUAAUUCCUUUCAGAUCACGAGUGACUCCCACUGUAUCAUAAAGAUCUAGAAACCUCUUUCUUUACUUCUAGAUUUCAACUCAAGAGAGUGUUUUCUUCAUGUGUUUGACAUUAUUUGGACCAAUUAGAAAAUAAACACCAUAUCUAGCUGUAUUAUCAACCAUCUAGGAAAAUCUAGUCCUACAUAUCAUUUCUUCUCUGGAAUAGUAUUUUCCAAAUUAUGAUUAAAGAUCCUCUUCCUCUGGCUCUGUACAUUAUUCCCUCCUUUCUGACUAUAUAGUUCUCAUGUGGAGAAUCUGAUUGGAAGCAUCUGCCAACCAGCCACAAAUAUACUUUCAUCUAUUCUAGUUAUCCAUUCAUUAACUUUUAUUAAAAAAAUUUAAAGUAUUUUAAUACAAAGUAUUUUAAUACAAAAUAAAGUAUAUAUAUAUAUAUAUUUUUUUUUUUAAUAUUUAUUUUUCAAUUUUAGGUGGACACAAUAUCUUUAUUUUAUUUUUAUGUGGUGCCGAGAAUUGAACCCAGUACCUCACGCACACCAGGCGAGCUCACUACCACUUGAGCCAUAUCCCCAGCCCCUAAAAUAAAGUAUUUUAAUAACAAUGAUUAAGGACUAUCAUUUCCAAAGCCUAAUGAAUUGGGACCUAUUGUCAUUGAAGUUCUUACUUUUGUAAAGUUAAUUUUUUGACCUCUUUUUAAUCAUUCAUUUAUUUAAAAAAUGUUUGUCAAACACCUGUUAUGCACCAGGUACUGUUUUAGGCCUUGGAAACAGUAGUAAACACAAUAGUCAAACAGAUCCCACUUUAAUAAUUCAGGUAUCCAAAUCCAUUUACAUAUGAUUCCUUAAUUAAGUUCUUGUUCUUCGAAGACUCAAUUCAGUAUUCAAAAAUACAUAAAAGGCACAAUGGUGCUAUUCACAUUACAAGUUGUCAUACAGUUACUUAAAAUCUUAUUUUCAAAUGACAUCAAUAUAUCCAUUUUCCGUUCUUGGGGCAAUGAGCAAUUCAACUGGGCAACUUAGGAUGCUUAUAUUGUAGUGGGAGAAGACAGACAAAAGUGACCAGCCCUGGAUUAAGUUUAGACUUCGUAUCUGGAAGCUGAAAUCUUUUUUUGUUAAUAAAACUGAAGAUGGGGGACUGAGGCUCUGUAGCUCAGUGGUAAAGUGCUUGCCUUACAUGUAUAAGGCACUGGGUUGAAUCCUCAGCACCACAUAAAAAUAAAUUAAUAUACUAUGUGUUCAUCUAUAACUAAAUAAAUAUUUUUUUAAAAACUGAAGAUGGUAUUUUUUCUUAGUUACAUUUGACUUUUGUUUCAUAUGGAAUUGAUGUGAAAUUAGAAACCUCCACUCUUUAAAUGAUUUUAUGUUAAUGUCCACAAAAUUGAUUUUUUAAAAAUACUUUAUUGCUGGGUGUGGUGGCUCACAUCUGUAAACCUAGAUACUUGGGAGGCGGAGGCAAGAAGAUUGUAGGAAGAUAGCAAGUUCAAGGCCAGCCUGGGUAACUUAGCAAGACCCUGUCUCAGUAUAAAAAAUAAAAAAUGCUGGGGGUGUAGCUCAAGUGGUAAAGUGUUUCUGGGUUCAAUCACCAGUCUUAGGGGGAAGAAAGACUUUAUUUUUUAGAACAGUUUUAGGUUGACAGCAAAGUUGAGCAGAAAGUACAAGAGUUCUCCUAGACUCCCUGCCCACCUGCUGCUGUGUAUGCAUACCCUCCCCCAUUCUCAACAUCUCCACCAGAAAAGUGCAUUUGUUAUAAUCAAUGAAUUUAUACUGAAUCAGUAUCACCCAAAGUUGACAAUUUACAUUAGAGUUAACUUGUGUGUUGUAUAUUCCAUGGAUUUUGACAAAUGUAUAGAUACAUCUACCAUCAUAUUAUUAUUAUUUUUGUAUUACUGGGGAUUGAACCCAGGGAUUUGUGCACUGAGCUACGUUCCCAAUCCUUCCCCCCACCCCCGCCAAUCCUUUUUAUUUUUAUUUUGAGACAAGGUAUCACUAACUUAUCCAGGUGAGGCUGGCUUCAAACUUGCAAUCCUCCAGUCUUAGCCUCCCAAGUUGCUGGGAUUACAGGUGUGCACCACCAUAUCCAGCUAAUUUAUUUAUUUUUGAGUCAGGGUCUUGCUAUGUUUUCUAGGCUGGCCUCAAACUCCUGGGCUUAAGUGAUUCUUCUGCCUCAGGCUCCUGAGUAGCUGGGUCUACAGAUGCAUGCCACCAAACUCAGCUUAUUUUUAUUUUUAAUUAACACAUAGUAAUUUUUAUACAUAUUUAUGGAAUACAGUGUAACAUUUCAAUACAUAUGUAUAAUAUGUAAUUAUCAAACUAGAGUAAUUGGCAUAUCUAUGGAAUUUAUUUUUUAACCUAAAUGUAGAACUUUUAUAGCUUUCCCCAUUACUUUUUGUUUUGUUGGUUUCUUCCAAUUAUUUUGACCUGUUGGGAACUUUCUGAAUUUUAGUUCUGUCAUAGAAGGCAUGUUUAUUAAAUUCACAGGUGAAACAAAGGUGGUGGGGACAGCUAUGUCAAUUGAUCAUACUGGGAGCCAGUUCAGGCAAGAAGCAUGCUGGGAUUGGGAGGCAACAUGGUAGAACAGGUAUGGUAUAGUUUGGUUUGGAUGAAAGAAGAGGCCUGAGGAAGCUAUUGGAGCUGCUAGGCCUGGCUUCAGCAUAAAUAUCCAGAAAAUGACCAAGGAUUAUUAAUGAUAAUGCAAUGUGAGGAAGAGCUUGCAUCACAAUUAAGGAAUCUCUGGUUUUUAGAACAGGAGCAGUAUAGGAAUAAAAUUAUCCAGACUUGGAGGAAAUUGUUGAGAACUGAGUGGUGUAUCAGAACCUCCUUGCCAAGUAGAUUGAAUUUCAUAGCUAGAACCUAAGAGAUAGAAGCAGGAAAGGAAACCACCAGGGCUUAUUUAUUCUGGGAAAAUCAUAUGCCAAGUGUGGUUGUCAGCACAUUUUUAUCCAAGACCCACCUGCUGAUUUGAAUCUAUCUUUAAUAAUGGCCAGUGAAAACUCAGGGUUUGGUUGUCCUUAUUGGUCCUUGGCCCAAACUAGACCCAUCUCACAGAUCUGAAGUAGGCAAAAGAGAAAGAAGAUAGGCUUUGUAGAGCCUUUAAUCCAGUCAUGUCUAAAAAUACUUAACUGACUCUCUUACUGCUUUCCUCAGGAAUCUUUUUUCCUUUCCCCCCAGCUGUAGGUGUACUCUCCCAGAGAAUCCAAACAAUCAUACCCUGCAGUACUGGAAGGACCACAACAUUGUGACAGCAGAAGUGCACUGGGAUAACCUGACUGUCAGUGUAAGUCUGGGAGCUGCCUAACACCAUGGCUACCAGGUUUAGGAGGGACUUCUCAGUGAAAGGCCAGUAGCCUUUUGGAGAAUUCUAGCAUUUAAGAAAGAAAGCUCUUUUAAAAAAACAAUAAAUUAAUUAAAAAACAAACAAAAAAUUGUUCUUACUUUUUUUCCCUUUCAAAAAUUUUCUUGUACAUAAAAGUAGAUCACCCUUCUCUUUUCUACCAUAUGCACCCUACCCUGUGAUUCUGCAUCAAGGACAUGUGGAGAUGAAACCACAUAGGGUAGGAUCCAAGUUUGUGGAGUUUGAAGGAUAGUAAGUUUGGAGGUCCUCUGUAAUAAAAACAAUUCAGAUUGCUAAGGCCUUCCCAAAGCCUUGAAAGUACUGUUUGUUCAGGACAUUUAUAGCUUUAUUCUUAAAACUUAGUUAUAACUGUAGUAGUGCCCCAUUUGAAAAAGGCCUGCAGGUGAGGGCCUCUCAUAAGGUCAAGUAGAUAUUGCUGGCAGCCUAUUCUGAUAGGCAGCAUCUAUUUAUUUCCUUGUGCCUAACUUUUGUCACCAGACUGCUUGUUCUUCCAGGAAUGCCAAGAAAUGCAUGGAGAGUUCAUGGGAUCUGCAUGUGGCCAUCAUGGACCCUACACUCCUGAUGUGCUCUUUUGGUCCUGUAUUCUCUUCUUCACCACCUUCAUCCUCUCAAGCACCUUAAAGACAUUUAAGACAAGCCGCUAUUUUCCAACCAGAGUAGGUAGCAUAUUCAUGCAUUACUUUU
rnacentral:lncRNA from 1 species